rnacentral:rRNA from 1 species
GAUGAACGCUGGCGGCGUGCCUAAUGCAUGCAAGUCGAGCGAACAGACGAGGAGCUUGCUCCUCUGACGUUAGCGGCGGACGGGUGAGUAACACGUGGAUAACCUACCUAUAAGACUGGGAUAACUUCGGGAAACCGGAGCUAAUACCGGAUAAUAUAUUGAACCGCAUGGUUCAAUAGUGAAAGACGGUUUUGCUGUCACUUAUAGAUGGAUCCGCGCCGCAUUAGCUAGUUGGUAAGGUAACGGCUUACCAAGGCAACGAUGCGUAGCCGACCUGAGAGAGUGAUCGGCCACACUGGAACUGAGACACGGUCCAGACUCCUACGGGAGGCAGCAGUAGGGAAUCUUCCGCAAUGGGCGAAAGCUUGACGGAGCAACGCCGCGUGAGUGAUGAAGGUCUUCGGAUCGUAAAACUCUGUUAUUAGGGAAGAACAAAUGUGUAAGUAACUAUGCACGUCUUGACGGUACCUAAUCAGAAAGCCACGGCUAACUACGUG